rnacentral:rRNA from 1 species
CCUACGCGUGGCAGCAGUGAGGAAUAUUGGUCAAUGGACGCAAGUCUGAACCAGCCAUGCCGCGUGCAGGAAGACGGCUCUCUGAGUUGUAAACUGCUUUUGUACGAGGGUAAACGCAGAUACGCGUAUCUGUCUGAAAGUCUCGUACGAAUAAGGAUCGGCUAACUCCGUGCCCGCAGCCGCGGUAACACGGAGGUUUCAAGCGUUAUCCGGAUUUAUUUGGUUUAGAGGGUGCGGAGGCUGUGAGGUAAGUCAGCGGUGAAAUGCCCCCGCUCAAAGGGAUGAAGUGCCCUGGAUACUGCCUAGCUGGAGUGCGAAUGCCGUGGGAGGAAUGUGUGGUGUAGCGGUGAAAUGCAUAGAUAUCACGCAGAACACCGAUUGCGAAGGCAUCUGUCGGGUCCGCGAUUGACGCUGAUGCACGAAAGCGUGGGUAUCAAACAGGAUUAGAGACCCUGGUAGUC